GUUCGACUUAUCAUAAAUAGGUUUGGAUUUGAGCUAAAUAGGUUUGGAUCAUAAAUAGGUUGAUCCAAUUAAUCCAUUUAUUAUUCGGAUCAAGUUCAAGUUUCAGGUGUCUGAUCUAUUUAACCUAUUUAAUUUUUAUUGGAUCAGAUCAGAUCAGAAUAGAUAACCUAUUUGAAAGAAUAAACCUAGGACCAGGGUGGCUUGCUUAAAAUUUAAAACAUACAAUCAUGUAUCACCAUGACUGAAAACUAAAAGGUGGAAAUAUUCAUGUGGGCUACUGUUUCGACCUAUGUGAUCCUUCUCUAACCCUAAGUGA
rnacentral:lncRNA from 1 species